ensembl:rRNA 5S_rRNA 5S ribosomal RNA
UUCCACAGCCACAUCACCCUGCAGUCCAAGACUGGUUACUCACUGAAGCUAAGCAGGGCUGAGCCUUGUCAGUACCUGGAUGGGAGAUCACAUGGGGAAACUAAGUUGCUGUCGGAA